GCUAUAGCAAGGGGUUUUGGCUCGAAUUGGGUGAAAUUUGAAAUGAGGGGCAAUACCUCAUUUUCUUUCAAUAAUAAGGUUCGCGGUGCCAAUAUGAAAAUAAUUGAAGAGAAUGGAAUCUUGGAAAGUCACUCAAUACCAAUUAAAAUAGCAAAUUCAACAGCUUUCAAGAGACGGGUCAAGAUGGCCUUAGGCGGGCCUAGGAGGGUCAUAGCAUGUAAAGGCGUCCUCUUGGGGGCCCUAAACGGAUCAAGGUGGCCCCUUGGCAUCCCCAUGGCGGAUCAAGUCGGCCCUUUGGCUGCUCUAGGCGGGUCAAGGCGGCCCUACGAGGGUCAAGGUGGCCCUUUGGCGGCCCUAGCCGGGUCAAGACGGCCCCUUGGUGGCCCUAGAUGGGUCAAGGCGCCCUAUUCACGGCCCUAUGAGGGUCAAGACGGCCCAAGAUGGGUCAAGGCUAUCUUAGGAGGGUCAAGGUGGCCCCUUGGCGGGUUAAGGCGGCCAAAUGCGGGUUAAGGCUGGUCAUGCCAGUCUAAGGCCAGCCAAGGCAGCCUAAGGCGGGUCAAGGUGGCCGCUUGGUGGCCCCCUGGCUACUCUAGGCGAUUGGGGGAGGGUCAAGGCGGCCCUAAUUGGGUUAAGGCGACCUUACACAAGUCAAGGCAGCCCUACACGGGCCUUAGAGGGUCAUGGUGACCACUUGGCGAGUCAUGGCUGCCCCAUGGUGACCCUAGGCGAGCCUAGGAGGGCUAGGAAGGUCAAGGCAGGUCUAGUAGGGUCAAGGCAACCCCUGGCGGGUCAAGGUAGCGCCUUAGACGGGUGAACGCUGCCCCUUGGCUACCGUAAUGGGGUCAAAUGCGGCCUCUUAACGGCCCUAAACAGGUAAAGGCGGCCCCUUGGCGGCUUUUGGCGAGUCAAGGUGGCCCUAGGAGGGUCAAGGCGACCAAGGCAGGUUAAGGCUAGUCAUGGCGAUCCAAGGCGGCGCAAGGCGGGUCAAGGCGGUCGCUUGGCGACCCUAGGCAAGUCAAGGCAGUCCCUUGGCUACCCUAGGCGAGCCUAAGAGGGCCUAGAAGGGUCAAGGCGGCCCAAAGCGGGUCAAGGCGGCCCUAGAUGGGCUUAAGAGGGUCAGGGCGUCCCCUUUGUGAGUCAUGGCGGCCCCUUGGUGGCCAUAGACGAGCCUAGGAGGGUCAAGACUGCCCUUGGUGGGUCUAGGAGGGUCAAGGCAGCCCUUUGGUGAGUCAAGGCGGCCCCUUGGCGGCCUUAGACGGGUGAACGCGGCCCCUUGGCGGCCCUAGCGGGGUGAAGGCGGCCUCGUAGCAGCCCUAGGAGGGUCAAGGCGGGUCAAUGCGGGUCAAGCCGGCUCUAGGCGGGUCAAGACGGCCACUUGGCGACCCUAGGCAUGUAAAGGCGGGACAAUGUGAGAUAAGGCAGGUCAAGGUGGCCCUAGGCGGGUCAAGGCAGCCCUAUGGAAUACCUCAUUUUCUUUUAAAAUUAAGGUUCCCGAUGUCAAUAUGAGAAGAAUUGAAGAGAACAGAAUCUUCGAAAGUCACUCAAUUCCAAUUAAAACAAUAAUUUCAAUAGUUUUACGAAACACGGCACUCGUGAGUUAUUUUGACCCGAUCGCGAGUAAAUUGAUAAAAGACAUGGGUUUUUGGAGCAAGAAUGGUUCACUGUAUAUUAGGAGGUGUCUGUAAGAACACCCGAACAGAGAAAGCCGGAAGCCCAAAAAAGUGAAACUGGGCAGAAACUCAUGUGCUAUAGCAAGGGGUUUAAUUGGGUGAAACUUGAAAUGAGAGACAAUACCUCAUUUUCUUUUGAAACUAAGGUUUCCGAUGUCAAUAUGAAAAGAAUUGAAGAGAACAUAAUUUUAAAAAGUCACUCAAUACCAAUUAAAACAGCAAUUUUAACAGCUUUAGAAAACACAUCAGAUGUGAGUUAUUUAGGCCUAAUCGCGAGUAAAUUGAUAAAAGACAUAGAUUUUUGAAGCUAGAAUGGUUCAAUAUAUGUUAGGAGGUGUCUAUAAGCACACCAGAACGGAAAAAGCCGGAGUCCUAAAAAAAGUGAAACUGGCUAGAAACUCGUGUGCUAUAGCAAGUGGUUUUGGCUCGAAUUGGGUGAAAUUUGAAAUGAGGGGCAAUACCUCAUUUUCUUUUGAAACUACGGUUUCCGAUGUCAAUAUGAGAAGAAUUAAAGAGAACAGAAUCUUGGAAAAUCACUCAAUACAAAUUAAAACACCAAAAUUCAACAUAAUUUACAAAACACGUUACUCGUGGGUUUAUUUAGGCCCGAUCGCAAAUAAAUUGAUAAAAAACACGCAUUUUUGAAGUUAGAAUGGUUCACUAUAUGUUAGCAAGUGUCUGUAAGCGCUCCCAAACGGAAAAAGCCUGAGGCAAAAAAAAAGUGAAACUGGGCAGAAACUCGUGUGUUAUAUAGCAAGGGGUUUUGGCUCGAAUUUGGUGAAAUUUGAAAUGAGGUGGAAUACCUCAUUUUUUUUAAUAAUAAGGUUCCCGGUGUCAAUGUGAAAAGAAUUAAAGAGAACAGAAUCUUGGAAAGUCACUCAAUACCAAUUAAAACAGCAAAUUUAACAGCUUUACUAAAUAAAUUGAUAAAAGACACGGAUUUUUAAAGCUAGAAUGGUUCAUUAUAUGUUAAGAGGUGUCUGUAACCACACCCGAACGGAGAAAGACAUAGGCCCAAAAAAAGUGGAACUGGGCAAAAACUCGUGUGCUAUAAGGGUUUUGGCUCGAAUUGGUUGAAACUUGAAAUGAGGGACAAUACCUCAUUUUCUUUUGAAACAAAGGUUUCUCAUGUCAAUAUGAGCAGAAUUGAAAAGAGCGAAAUCUUGGAAAGUCACUCAAUAUCAAUUAAAACACCAAAUUCUACAAUUUUACAAAACACGACACGCGUGAGUUUAUUUAGGCCCGAUCGCGAGUAAAUUUAUAAAAGACACGCAUUAUUGAAGCUAGAAUGGUUCACUAUAUGUUAGGAGGUGUCUGUAAGCACACCCGAACAAAAAAAGCCAGAGGCCCUAAAAAAGUGAAACUGGGCAGAAACUCGUGUAUUAUAGCAAGAGGUUUUGGCUCGAAUUAGGUGAAAUUUGAUAUGAGGGGCAAUACCUCGAUCAUUUUCUUUUAAUAAUAAGGUUUUCGAUGUCAAUACGAAAAGAAUUGAAGAGAACGGAAUUUUGGAAAGUCACUCGAUACCAAUUAAAAUAGUAAUUUCAACAGCUUUACAAAACACGGUACACAUGAGUUUAUUUAGGCUCGAUCGUGAGUAAAUUGAUAGAAGACAUGGAUUUGAGGGUCAAGGGGCCCUAUUGGCGGCCUUAUGAGGGUCAAAGCGGGUCUAGGCGGCCCAAGGCGAGUUAAGGCGGCCCCUAGGCGGGUCUUGGCUGCCCUAGGCGGAUCAAGGCUGCCUUAGGAGGGUUAAGGCGGCCCCUUGGCGGGUUAAGGUGGGUCAUGACGGUCUAAGACGGCCCAAGGUAGGUCAAGGCGUGUAAAGGCGACCUCUUGGUGGCCCUAAGUGGGUCAAGGCGGCCCCUUGGCAUCCCCUAGGUGGAUCAAGGCGGCCAGGUGGGUCAAGGCGACCCUAAGAGGGUCUUAGCGGUCCUAGCCGGGUCAAGGCAGCCCCUUGAUGGCCCUAGAUGGGUCAAGGCGCCCUAUUGGCGACCUUAUGAGGGUCAAGGCGGGUUAAAGCGGCCUCUACGCGGGUCGUGGCCGUCCUAUGCGGGUUAAAGCUGCCUUAGGAGGGUCAAGUCAGCCCCUUGGCGGGUUAAGGCGAGCCAAGGCGGGUCAAGGCGGUCUAAGGCAAGCCAAGUCGGGUCAAGGCGGCCCAAGGCGGGUUAAGGCGGCCCUACAAAGGGCCUAGGAGGGUCUUGGCAACCCCUUGGUAGCCCUAGGCGAACCUUGGAGGGCAUAGAAGGGUCAAGGCAGCCCUUUGCGGGUCAAGGCGACCCCUUGGCGGCCUUAGACGGGUGAACGCGGCCCCUUUGCUGCCCUAACGGGGUCUUAGCGGCCCUAAGAGGGUCAAGGCGAGUUAAGGCAGGCCAAUGUAGGUCAAAGCGGCUCUAGGCAGGUCAAGGGGGCCGCUUGGCGACCCUAGGCAAGUAAAGGCCGGUCAAGACGGGUUAAGCCGGGUCAAGGCGGCCCCUUAGCUACCCUAGGCGGGCCUAGGAGGGUCAAGGCGGGUAAAGGUGGCCCUUAGAGGGUCAUGGCGGCCCCUUGGUGACCCUAGAUGGGUUAAGGCGCCCUAUUGGCGGCCCUAUGAGGGUCAAGCCGGGCCAAGACGGGUGAAGGCGGCCCUUUUGUGGCCCUAGAUGGGUCAAGGUGUCCUAUUGGUGGCCCUAUGAGGGUCAAGACGGCCCCUUGGUGGCCCUAGAUGGGUCAAGGUGCCCUAUUGGCGGCCCUAUGAGGGUUAAGGCAGCCCUUUGGCUACCCUAGGCGAGCCUAGGAGUGUCAAGGCGGCCCUACACUGGUCAAAAUGAGCCAAUGCAGGUCAAGGCGGCUCUAGGCGGGUCAAGGCAACCGGAAAACCUGUCUAAGGCCGCCAAGGGGCUAGCUCCUUCACCCUCUUAGACCUGCCAAGGGGCCGCCUUGACCUUCCUAGGCCCUCCUAAUCUCGCCUAGGGCCACCAAGGGGCCGCCAUGACUCGCCAAGUGCCGAGAAUGCUUGAGCAGGGUGUGAGCCUUGUGCCAUGCCCAAGCGGGGCACGCGCAGGUGUCGAAGACCUGCGCAAGAAUGCAAGGCAAGUCAGUGCAAGGAGGCGCAGCAUCGUGCACAACCAAGGUGCAUAGCACUCAUGCACCCUAGGACCCAUCAAGGUGCGCGGCCAGGUGCACAACCCGGUGUACAACUCUCAUGCACCCUAGGGUCCGGCAAGGUAUAUGGCCAGGGUGUGCAGCACUACGGCACCCCAAGGUCUAGCAAGCGUCCAGCAUGGUGCACAGCAGGGUGCGCAGCACCUAUGCACCUAAGGGUCCAGUAAGGUGCAUUACAAGGGUGCAGCGGAAGGGUGUGAUAUCUCUAGCACCCUAGGGUCCGAUAGGGUGCGAGUCUCGGGUGCACAGGGUUGUAUACACUGAUGACAAAGGCCAUGUGUUGGGAGUAGGCAACACAAUGGCAUGGUGUGGGCUGCAUGGAGGAUGGCUUGCACGAGGGUUCAAGGGCAGGCAAGGUGCAGCAAGCUAGCACUAUGUGCGCGUGCAGCGUGCAUUGGCAUCAUGGCAAGUGGGUGCGCGAGCAUCUGACGACGAGCUUCCUACAUGCAUAGUAUGUGUGACACUUGGGCAACGGUUACCAAGUAGUGGGAGUUAUCCACACCUUACUCAGAAAAGGUAGUUACCAAGUAGUGGGCGGUUAUCCAAGAAGCACUAUUCAUGGUGGUUACCACGAAGUGGGGAGCAUCAUGCGCGGCAGUUACUAAGUAGUGGGUGGUUACUUACACAAGGUGGUUGCCAAAGUAGUGAGAAGUUACCAAUAAGGAUAAGAUCAUGCGGUUACUUGGAGAAGUAGUGGGCUCACUGAUAGGUGCAUUUUAUGCAACGUUCUUAAUGUAUUUCCAACCCUAUUUAGUUAUGUAAUUCCUUUAACAAUAUUCAUUUUAACUUAGUUUGUGUUUUUAGGUUGCAAAUAAAGCCGAGGAGCACAAAAGUGACAAAAGAGGAGAAAUCUUGAAGGAAAAGGAAUUCAUAUGGCGCAAGGAAAUAAAUCAGAAAAUCUGCCAGGAAUUAUCAGUCAACUUCGACAGAGGAUUGUGAUCAGUUCACAAUGAUCCAGGAGAUGAGCCUCAUAUCAAAGGAAAGCUAGAAGAGUCUAGUUGCCAGAACUUUUCGUGGAUCGUUAAUAGCUAUUUUGGAGAAGAAGUUAUGACCGUUUGAGUGACUGAAGGUCAGUCUUCACGAAUUUCUGAUUUGAACCGGAACUUCAAUUUCAAGGCCCAGACCACAACGGCGAGCCCAUGGACGAAAAUUGAAGGUUCUCUAACCCUAAUAGCAGCUGAUCAUACGUUCCCUAUAUGUAUGAGAAGUUGGAGACGUGAAAGGGGUCGCUCUUUGCCGCAGAAAAACAAUGUCUUUCUUCUCCUUCAGAAAUUCCUCUCCAAACACAAACCCUAGUUUUAGGACUUCUCUUGCCGUGCCUUCUCAUUUGUAAUCCUCGGUGUAGUUCCUUAUUUCAAUACUCAAAGUGUAAUCUAAACUUAGACCUCAUGUUUUCUUUUACUAUCUAUUCAAUUAAUUUAGUUUGUUUCCAUCUCUCUUAUUCGUUUGUGUUCAUGAGUUGGAUUUUUUAUUGAGUUUGUUCUUAUGAUCAUGAUAAUUAGAUCUGUACGUAUGGUUGAGUUGUUGGUGUAAUUGAUGAUGCUUUUAAUCAAUAUGUGUCAUUGUUUGUGUUAAGUCUGCAUCGGUAAAGACGAACUAGAAUGGUAAGGAGUCAUAGGGUGCAUGCUAGGAUGUUUUUGAAGUCUGCGUCGGUGAAUUAUAUUCUAACAUGUUCAAGUUCUUCCUCUGAUCUAUUUUAGAUAUGAAGUCCGCAUCGGUACAUAUCUAUGAGAAGUUAGAAAGGUUUUAAGUAGUUAAGUCUGCGUCGGUAAAUC
rnacentral:lncRNA from 1 species